GACGAACGCUGGCGGCGUGCUUAACACAUGCAAGUCGAACGGAAAGGCCCUGCUUUUGUGGGGUUCUCGAGUGGCAAACGGGUGAGUAACACGUGAGUAACCUGCCCUUGCUUUUGGUAUAACUUCAGGAAACUGGGUCUAAUCCCGGAUAGGAGCUCCUGCUUCAUGGUGGGGGUUGGAAUGUUUCGGCGGUUGGGGAUGGACUCGCGGCUUACCAGCUUGUUGGUGGGGUAGUGGCUUACAAAGGCUUUGACGGGUAGCCGGCCUGAGAGGGUGACCGGCAAAAUUGGGACUGAGAUACGGCCCAGACUCCUACGGGAGGAAGCAGUGGGGAAUAUUGCACAAUGGGCGGAAGCCUGAUGCAGCAACGCCGCGUGCGGGAUGACGGCCUUCGGGUUGUAAACCGCUUCCGCCUGUGACGAAGCGUGAGUGACGGUAAUGGGUAAAGAAGCACCGGCUAACUACGUG
rnacentral:rRNA from 1 species